GACGAACGCUGGCGGCGUGCUUAACACAUGCAAGUCGAACGGAGAAUUUAUUUCGGUAAAUUCUUAGUGGCGAACGGGUGAGUAACGCGUGGGCAACCUACCCCAAAGUCCGGGAUAACAGUGGGAAACCGCUGCUAAUACCGGAUGGCUUUACCUGAGGGCAUCCUUGGGUAAAGAAAGGUUACGCUUUGGGAUGGGCCCGCGUCCCAUUAGCUAGUUGGUGAGGUAACGGCUCACCAAGGCGACGAUGGGCAGCCGGCCUGAGAGGGUGAACGGCCACACUGGGACUGAGACACGGCCCAGACUCCUACGGGAGGCAGCAGUAGGGAAUUUUGCGCAAUGGACGAAAGUCUGACGCAGCAACGCCGCGUGAAGGAUGACGGCCCUCGGGUUGUAAACUUCUGUUGGAUGGGAAAAAAGCCUCGUAAGGGGAAUUGAUGGUACCAUUCGAGUAAGCACCGGCUAACUACGUG
rnacentral:rRNA from 1 species